rnacentral:misc_RNA from 1 species
UCCCGGUUAACCCGGGCAGUCUCACUAGAGUUCCCACCAUUACGUGUUGGCAACUAGUGAUAAGGGUUGCGCUCGUUGCGGGACUUAACCCAACACCUCACGGCACGAGCUGACGACAGCCAUGCAGCACCUGUGCAGCGGCCCCGAAGGGAGAUACUAUUUCUAGUACUGUCCACUGCAUGUCAAACCUGGGUAAGGUUCUUCGCGUUGCAUCGAAUUAAACCACAUGCUCCACUGCUUGUGCGGGUCCCCGUCAAUUCUUUUGAGUUUCAGCCUUGCGACUGUACUCCUCAGGCGGUAUACUUAACGCGUUUGCUCCGGCACAAUUGGGGUUGAGUCCAAUUACACCAAGUAUACAUCGUUUACAGCUAGGACUAC